rnacentral:lncRNA from 1 species
GCGCAUGCUGCUUGGUAAUCACUGAGUUGGCUGGACUGUCUUCUCUGCUCUGCAUAUCUGGAAUGCCCACUUCUCCACCUGUCCAGUCAUAUAUUUAAUUCAGACUCUUGGCUUCCAUCAUGAAACGUUCCUCAAAUUCUCUGAGCCCUUGCCUCCCCAACAUGAACUCUCUUCACAGUUAGAAAAGAAAUAAAAAACAAACUCCAGAACUUUCAAACAUAAGAGGAAUGUAAGUUUCCAGAUUCAAGAAUACACCGAAUGCCCAGCAAGAUGGAUUGGGGGAAACCUACAUUAAAGAACAACACCGUGAUUUAUGAAAACACCAAGCUUAAAGAAGAAAUCCUAAAAAGUUUCUAGAGAAAGGAAACAAAAGAUCAGAAAUGAGCAUGGCUUUAGAUUUCUCAACAGCAACCUUGAGAAUUAGGUGACAAUGGUGUAUGCCUUCAAAGUUCUAAGGAAAAUGAUUUCCACCCAGAAUUCUAUGCCUUCAAGGCCUCCAGCAUGGUACCAUACAGAUGAGAACUUAAUGAAGAAGGAUGCUUCUGAGUAAGAUUUAGUCAUCUCCUUGAAGAUACUUUUCUCCUUUGGAAAAGGAAGAAUCAAACUUUCCUGAACUUCUCAGGGAGAACAUGGUGGUUGACUUUGUUUCUUCUGUCAAAGGACAUCAUUAUAGUACCAAGGUGACAUCGAGGAGGUUUUAACUCUCCCAAAAAGUUGCACCAGAGGAUUUGGGGAGGUGUAGGAUGUGACAGCCAGCCCAGAAGCAGGGCUAGUAAUUAUAAAAUGGGUGACGAUGGAAAAAUUGCUCUCUUCUUCGGGGUUACUUGCCCAUCAAAGAACAGCAAGGACUGGGCAUGUGAAAUGCCAAUGGUUUGGCUAAUCAACACGCCACAGCUUAGCUGGAGUCACUGUACUUGAAUGUGGUUUUGUUUUUAAUGCUGUGUUCUUGUGGGCAUGGAAAGAGUUACAGCCAACUGCCCCAGGUAUGGUAACUAGAGGCGGUGGUGGAAAUGUAAAUGUAAGGACCCUUUGUCUUCUCCCCUCCAGUAGUAAAGGGGACGAAAGAGAGUGGAGAAGGAUUGCACUCUUCUGGUGGACUUUCUCCUGUGAUGCACAGAAAUGCACGGAUAACGUUAAAAAUAUUUUAAAUUGUAUUUAUUUAUAUAUUUUAGAGAUGGGGUCUUGCUAUGUUGCCCAGGCUGGUCUCAAACUCCUGACCUCAAGUGAUCCUCUUGCCUUGGCUUCCGUGGUACCUACCUGUAAUCCAAGCUAUGAUCGCUUGAACCCAGGCAUUUGAGAUGAGACUGGGCAACACAGUGAGACCCCCAUCUCUAAAAAAGUAUCGUCUUGUUUUGUGUGACCUGGCCAUCAACACAUAUUUACAAAAAAGAGAUAUCUCUCUUUUAUUAUCAUAAAGCAUAGACUGAAUUUUAGAUAGGUUUUGAAUCUCUCUGUGCCUGAAUUUCUCUCAAAAUUAAUAGUGCCUCAUAUUUGAUAAAGCACUAAGUUUUCUUUUGAAAGGUGCACAGAAAACUCUGCAUUGCCUAAAUUAUAAUUUUCUCAACUAUUUGACCCAACCUAUCACUGUUGUAGUAUUCUUUAACAGAGCAUUCUGUUACCAUGAGUAAGGGAGUUGCUGCUUUUUUUUUUUUUUAAAUCAAUCAAGAACUACAGAUAAGUACUUUUAAAAUCAGACCAUGACUGGGGAAAGCAGGAGUCAACGAGUCAGUUUGAGUCUGUUAUCAGCUCUGCCUGAGACUGGCCUUUUAUAUCACUCUGAGGAGUAAUGCUGUUUGUUUUCAGCAUGAAAUACAUAAGAGAAAAAAUUAAGUAGGGAACAGGAGAAUAAUAUUUGGAUAGGGUAGUUUUAUUAUUUUGUCUGACACAUUAUGUCCCCUAGCCCUCAGUAUAUCCAGGGAUCAUCUAUGCUUAAAGUUAAAUACAAGAUAACUUCCCAAGCCAAGUACAAGUGAUUUUAAAAAAUAAUAAAAUGCCUUAUAGGAUUACCUACUACAGUUCUUAAGUUGCCCAGGAAACAUCACAUCACUGCAUGCAGUGUCAGAGACAUCGGUAAAUCCUCCGCCAACAAGUAUUUUGAAUAUAGCAGAAAAACACAGAUGUUUUAGACCUUCUGAGAUGCAUUAAGUUCUGGAAACUGGAAGCCAUAAAAGACAAAAUCGUGGGAGGGGAAUUGCUGGGAGCACCCUGGGAAAGCAGCCACCCUGGAGUUGAGUGACCUCUCUUUGAUCUCUAGCUUUCCCAAGUCACUUUCCCAUGCAUUUCCUCAACACUGGUUUCAGUUCUUUAGAUCUAAUAAAAGCCUUUGGGGUUGGGAGCAUCACUGAGUAGAGUGCUGAUUCAGGCCAAGCUUGGAGGGAGGAGUGGAGCAUUCAAUGUGUUUACAGUAAAGUGUGUGUGUGUGUGUGUGUGUGUGUGUGUGUGUGCGCGCUUAUGAGUAAUAGCAACUUCUCACCACUGUCACAGCCACCAAUGGGAGAUUUAGCUUCCUCCAAGUCACCUCAAUUAAACAUACGCUCUAAAUAAAGCAGCAUGCUUGCUGGAGACAGAGCUUCAAAAAGUCCCCUAGAUCUCUUUCUCCUUCCAAACAUUUUGCUGCCCUGAAGCAUGUCAUAUAUAGAAAUGUUAUAGUUGCCUCUUUGUUCAUUCAUUCUUUCAAGGAUCUCCACAUUAUAUUGUUUGAUAAGAAGUGGAAUUAAUACUUUACACAAAUGCUUGCAUUUCCGUGCUAUUCCUUUCACUUCCUGAUCAUAGUGCACUCUGACUAUAAAAUGGAUUACGUGUUGUUCCUCCUAAUGCUUCAGUAUAUAGAGCCUCCCAUGGUAGGUGAUAUACUUGGGUGACUCUACAGGUUGCUUCGCGACUUCCAAAAGUUUUUUCUGAUAAUUUUGGAAGUGCUGCAUGAUUUAGAAAUGCUGAUUCACUUCAGUCUUUAGACACAUUGAAAAAAUAUAUUAUUUCUUCCUCAUUUUCAAAAUAUUACACAAAGAAGUUUGGAAAGUAAUAAUAAUCACUGUUCACUUGCAAAAUUCCUUUCUUCUAAAACAUUUUUAUAAUAAUUAAGUCAUUCUAUCUUUAUGAUACCCAACUAAAGAGGACAGCGGGCAAGCCCAUUUUACAGAUGGGAAAACAGAUGUUAAUUGCCUUGUCCAAGACUACAUAGUGAGAUAAGAUAAAAAAUGAAAGGGAAACUUGUCCUCCUAAAAUUUAUGUUCUUUCUCACCAUGGUGAUUAUUUCAGUUUGGAUUGAGAAGCCAAUUCAUAUAAUUUGGCUUUUUCUGUGCCUUUAAUUUCUACAUAUUAAAACCUAAUUGCAAGGUUAGACUGUGAUUUUGUCCUACGGGCACUAAAUUCCUCAUGUAAUAUGUACCUUUCUCUGCUGAAUCUUGAUAUUUUCUUAGAUUUUCAGUAUAGUUUGUCUUGAUUUGACUUGCAGUGCACUGCAAAUGAUAUAAUUUUAUUGUGGAAUAUAUGAGGCUGGAGGGCUGGGGAGAGGUCAGAGCUGAAAGUACAGGAAAUUUAAAUUACAUAAUGUUACACUUUGCAAUUGUUUCCACUUGUACUAAGUAUAAAGAUAGAUCCAUGGCAAUACACAACAGCAGGUAAGAAGUGUGUAUAAAGACUUUGCACCCUGAUAGUACCAUUUAUGUAUUCAUUUGGCAUAAACAUACCCAUUUGUGAAUAAACAAAGUCCAGGCCCUCAUGGUGCUUACAUUUUAGGAACAGAGUCCAAUAAUAAAUAUUGAUUACACAACAUAAUCAUGUAGUGAUAAGUGCUAUGAGAAAAAAAAGAAGCAGAGUAAGGGGACAGAGAAGGCAGAACUAUUUUAUAUAGUAGUAGGAAGGUUAAUUUAAAAGCCAGGAAGGUGGAGUCUUCCUGGCAGGUCUGAGAAACCUCAGGAGGGAGGUGGGUGUGGCUGAGGCAGAGUGAAUGGCAAAAGGUAAAAAACUGAACUGGUGAGUCAGGGCUGAAAGGACUUGAAAGGCUGGGAAAGGACUUUGGAUUUUAUUGCAGUGUGAUUAGAAGCACAGGGCCCUGGAGUGUUUUGGGCAAGAACAAGGACAUUAUCUUACCAAUGCUUUACAAUAAAUUCUCUGGUGGCUGUGUAGAGGCUAGACCGUGGAGGGGAAAAAGUGGAAGCAGGGUGAUGGUUCGUCUGUCCCAGUCACCCAGGAGAAAGAUCACGGGGAGGGCAGACAUGGGUGUUCGUGGUUAAGAGAGAAGGAUGCGAUUGGCUUCCGUACCAUUUGAAGGUAGGCUAAAAUGAACGUGGUGAUUGAAAGGAAG